AGUACGGUCGCAAGAUUAAAACUCAAAGGAAUAGACGGGGACCCGCACAAGUGGUGGAGCAUGUGGUUUAAUUCGAAGAUACGCGAAGAACCUUACCUAGCCUUGACAUAUAUUAGAACUCACCAGAGAUGGAGAGGUGCCUUCGGGAGCUUUUAUACAGGUGCUGCACGGCUGUCGUCAGCUCGUGUCGUGAGAUGUUGGGUUAAGUCCCGCAACGAGCGCAACCCUCGUCCUUAGUUACUAACGGUUCGGCCGAGGACUCUAAGGAGACUGCCUUCGUAAGGAGGAGGAAGGUGAGGACGACGUCAAGUCAUCAUGGCCCUUACGGCUAGGGCAACACACGUGCUACAAUGGCCAGGACAAUGAGAGGCGAUACCGCGAGGUGGAGCAAAUCUAUAAACCUGGUCUCAGUUCGGAUUGAUCUCUGCAACUCGAGAUCAUGAAGCUGGAAUCACUAGUAAUCGUAGAUCAGCUAUGCUACGGUGAAUACGUUCCCGGGUCUUGUACUCACCGCCCGUCACACCAUGGGAGUUGAUUUCACCCGAAGCGGGGAAGCUAAACUGGCUACCCUCCACGGUGGAAUCAGCGACUGGGGUGAAGUCGUAACAAGGUA
rnacentral:rRNA from 1 species